rnacentral:rRNA from 1 species
GCGUACCAUUAGCUAGUAGGUGGGGUAAUGGCCCACCUAGGCGACGAUGGUUAGCGGGUCUGAGAGGAUGAUCCGCCACACUGGCACUGGAACACGGGCCAGACUCCUACGGGAGGCAGCAGUGAGGAAUAUUGCGCAAUGGGGGCAACCCUGACGCAGCGACGCCGCGUGAGUGAGGAAGGCCUUCGGGUCGUAAAGCUCUGUCAAAGGGAAAGAAGUGCAUGGUGGCUAAUACCUGUCAUGUUUGACGGUACCCUUAAAGGAAGCACCGGCUAACUCCGUGCCAGCAGCCGCGGUAAUACGGAGGGUGCAAGCGUUGUUCGGAAUCACUGGGCGUAAAGGGCGCGUAGGCGGCUUGAUAAGUCAGAUGUGAAAGCCCACGGCUUAACUGUGGAAGUGCAUUUGAAACUGUCAGGCUUGAGUACCAGAGGGGAAAGUGGAAUUCCCGGUGUAGAGGUGAAAUUCGUAGAUAUCGGGAGGAAUACCGGUGGCGAAGGCGACUUUCUGGCUGGAUACUGACGCUGAGGCGCGAAAGCGUGGGGAGCAAACAGGAUUAGAUACCCUGGUAGUCCACGCCGUAAACGAUGUGAACUAGAUGCAGGUGGUGUUGAUCCCAUCUGUGUCGCAGCUAACGCAUUAA